rnacentral:rRNA from 1 species
AUACGAAAGGGGGGGCUAGCGUUGCUCGGAAUCACUGGGGCGUAAAAGCGCACGUAGGCGGAUUGCUAAGUCAGGGGUGAAAUCCUGGAGCUCAACUCCAGAACUGCCUUUGAUACUGGCGACCUUGAGUCCGGGAGAGGUGAGUGGAACUGCGAAGUGUAGAGGUGAAAUUCGUAGAUAUUCGCAAGAACACCAGUGGCGAAGGCGGCUCACUGGCCCGGUACUGACGCUGAGGUGGCGAAAAGCGUGGGGA